CAAGGCGGUUGGUUCUCACUGCGCAGUGUAAAACGGUGAUUUUGCGAAGGGCAACAAGUCGAACUGCGAAGCUAUGGGAGGAACUGGCCCGGAUAAGGGGCGUCGAAGAAGACGAGGCGCUGAAGAAGGAGGUAACUGAAGAGACGCGUCGGCUCUGCCAGGAGUUUGCCAGUCGACUGCUUCUAGGUCUUGAUUCCAGACCGAACAGUGACAAAGAACUCAUGUCGUUCCUCGCCCACGGCUGCGGCACCACGGUGGGGGAGCUGGCGGACCCCCGGAAUGCGGUGAGAUGCAUUGAGGGUUCAGGAUUGGAGGUUCAGGGAGCGGAACUCCCGCUUGAUCAGGAGGCACCGCUGGCAGCUGUGGCCGCAGCAGCUGCGGCUCAUGCGGUCUUCUACUGCCCAUUCAGAGGGCCUUCCAAAACCCUGAUGGAGGUCAUCUAUUAUAGGGCGGUGAA
rnacentral:lncRNA from 1 species